rnacentral:rRNA from 1 species
AUGGCGACCGGCGCACGGGUGCGUAACGCGUAUCGAACCUGCCUCAUACUCGGGGAUAGCCUUGCGAAAGUAAGAUUAAUACCCGGCGGUCUCGGAUGGCCGCAUGACAGUCCGAGUGAAGAUUUAUCGGUAUGAGAUGGCGAUGCGUCCCAUUAGCUUGUUGGUGAGGUAACGGCUCACCAAGGCAUCGAUGGGUAGGGGUUCUGAGAGGAAGGUCCCCCACAUUGGAACUGAGACACGGUCCAAACUCC